AGGAACCUGCCUCAAAGAGGGGGACAACAGUUGGAAACGACUGCUAAUACCGCAUAAGCCAACGGGUCGGCAUCGACCAGAGGGAAAAGGAGCAAUCCGCUUUGAGAUGGCCUCGCGUCCGAUUAGCUAGUUGGUGAGGUAACGGCCCACCAAGGCGACGAUCGGUAGCCGGACUGAGAGGUUGAACGGCCACAUUGGGACUGAGACACGGCCCAGACUCCUACGGGAGGCAGCAGUGGGGAAUAUUGCACAAUGGGGGAAACCCUGAUGCAGCGACGCCGCGUGGAGGAAGAAGGUCUUCGGAUUGUAAACUCCUGUUGUUGAGGAAGAUAAUGACGGUACUCAACAAGGAAGUGACGGCUAACUACGUGCCAGCAGCCGCGGUAAAACGUAGGUCACAAGCGUUGUCCGGAAUUACUGGGUGUAAAGGGAGCGCAGGCGGGAAGACAAGUUGGAAGUGAAAUCCAUGGGCUCAACCCAUGAACUGCUUUCAAAACUGUUUUUCUUGAGUAGUGCAGAGGUAGGCGGAAUUCCCGGUGUAGCGGUGGAAUGCGUAGAUAUCGGGAGGAACACCAGUGGCGAAGGCGGCCUACUGGGCACCAACUGACGCUGAGGCUCGAAAGUGUGGGUAGCAAACAGGAUUAGAUACCCUGGUAGUCCACACCGUAAACGAUGAUUACUAGGUGU
rnacentral:rRNA from 1 species